CACGUGGUAACCUGCCAUAGGAGGGGAUAACAGUCCGGAAACGGGUGACUAAUACCGACAUUAGUUUUCUUGAUCGCAUGAUCGGGAAAGGAAAGACGGCCUUUUGUGCUGUCGCUUAUGGAUGGACCCGCGGCGUAUUAGUUAGUUGGUGAGGUAACGGCUCACCAAGACGAUGAUACGUAGCCGACCUGAGAGGGUGAUCGGCCACAUUGGGACUGAGACACGGCCCAAACUCCUACGGGAGGCAGCAGUAGGGAAUCUUCCGCAAUGGACGAAAGUCUGACGGAGCAACGCCGCGUGAGUGAAGAAAAGGUUUUUCGGAUCGUAAAACUCUGUUGUCAGAGAAGAACAAGUUGGAGAGUAACUGCUCCAGCCUUGACGGUAUCUGACCAGAAAGCCACGGCUAACUACGUGCCAGCAGCCGC
rnacentral:rRNA from 1 species